UACCAGCACCCCGAGUGGUCGGGACGUUUAUUGGGCCUAAAGCAUCCGUAGCCGGUUCUACAAGUCUUCCGUUAAAUCCAGCUGCUUAACAGAUGGGCUGCGGAAGAUACUAUGGAGCUAGGAGGCGGGAGAGGCAAGCGGUACUCGAUGGGUAGGGGUAAAAUCCGUUGAUCCAUUGAAGACCACCAGUGGCGAAGGCGGCUUGCCAGAACGCGCUCGACGGUGACGGGAUGAAAGCUGGGGAGCA
rnacentral:rRNA from 1 species